rnacentral:rRNA from 1 species
CACGUAGGCACCAAGCGUUGUCCGGAUUUAUUGGGCGUAAAGGGCUCGUAGGCGGUCUGUUGCGUCGGGAGUGAAAACUCAGGGCUUAACCCUGAGCCUGCUUCCGAUACGGGCAGACUAGAGGUAUGCAGGGGAGAACGGAAUUCCUGGUGUAGCGGUGAAAUGCGCAGAUAUCAGGAGGAACACCGAUGGCGAAGGCAGGUCUCUGGGCCGAUACUGACGCUGAGGAGCGAAAGCGUGGGGAGCGAACAGG